GCCUGCUGUGAGCACAGUUAUUCACCACUUCGAUUCUACUGCUGCAACAUUCUGGUCAUUCAUUCUGGAUAAGUUACUGUUACAGGCUGUGCAAAGGGCUAUUCUUGAAGAUACAUGGGUGCACUGAAGAUGUAGCAUAUCACUCUAAUUUUGAAGGCUUUGCACUGCUUGACAAUGAGCUACUGCGCCUAAUUCAAGGUCUCUCUAUUCACAUAUACUGUAAAGCCCUUUUGGAUGUUGGGGUUGUCUUUUGAGAUGUGGGGUGUGUUACUAUGUGCAGAUAGUAUGUUUGGUAGGAGUGGAGCUGCUAGAAACUGAAAUAGCUAUACCUUAAAUGAACAGACAGUUGUCACACUGUCUAUGCCCCUUCCCAGUCUUUGUUCGGUACCAUAAAUUUUCAUGUCAAAAGCUGGAAAAAUUAUUUGCUGUGCUCUGCCCAAGGUUCACCAGAACGCCACCUUUGUAAUAAAUGUGCUGUCCCUUCCUGCUUUCUUUCGAUGUGAUGACAUACUGCAUGGAUGAUCUGUCUAAUCUCCACUUCAUUCAAUUCAGUAUUGCCUCCUGAGCGCUGAAGAGCUGUUACUUGGUACCAUGAUUUUAACAUAAUAUCUGCAGACAUAGAGACUAGAAGCUCGAUGCAAAAACAAAGUCACAAACUCCUGAUGGUUGAAAUCUACAAUGUUUUAAGAAGGUAUUGCUGGCUAAACAAAACUGUCUGGUCACGUUUUAUUCUUGUACUAGGACAGCAUUCUUCAACCCAAGUCCCUCCAGAUGUUUUGGACUACAGUUCCUGUCUAUCCCAGUCAGCAUAGCAAAUGGUAAGAGAUGGUGGGAGUCAUAGCCCAGAGCAUCUGGAGAGCAUUAGACUGGGGAAGCCUGCUCUAGAAAAAAGUGUUUUUACAUUAUGCUGGAGGUAAAGGAUUAUACUGGAACCCGAGUAACCCUGCUAAGGUUAUACUGGGAAAAUUAUAAGAUGUUAAUUUUCCUAUUCCCCAGUAGACAUUAUCCUCCUUCCUCUCUGUUCCUGAACGCUUAUAAAUUACUGAUGAUGAACAGUAAUUUAAAAACUCUCCCAUGGCUGUUCAUAAUAUCUGACACUUGAAGCACCUAGCAAUUAGCAUUGGUAAUAUGUGAGAGCAUAUUUCUGCAUUGUGGGAGCUGAGUUUGCUCUGUUACUGCCAACCAUUCCUGCCUCCUGUCUCUGACUGGCUCCCCCUCUUAUACUGGGAUUAAAAAGCAAAAGAGCUGCCACAUUUGUGAUGCUAAUCUUAAGUGAAUGGCUUAAUACAGUAGGUGUUCUUGUCAUAAUACAUAAGCAUUGUCAUAACAAUCCUGCUUAAUAUUUGCAAAGUACUGUGUUGAAGCAGAAGGUGGUUUUGGAGAAGUGGAUGUAAGUUUUAGCUCGAUGAUUGGAUUAUGCCAACCAGUGACCUCACUCCUCUGUUUCUCUUUAUAAAGCAAAAUGUGGUGUGCCUGGAUAGUUGUGGCACUGGAUCCCAAGGUAGUUUGGUUUAGUGGAGAUAUUCAGGAUGGGCACAACACCUAGUUUUCUUUUUCUCCCUGGAGCCAAGGGCUGUUCACUACUUUACAGCAGGUGAUCCUGUUACUCAGACAGCAAAGUGUGUGCCACCAUUUUCAAUUAAAAGAUGCAAUAGGAUUGGUUAGUCUUCUGAAACUUUUAUUUUUUAAAAAAUAUUAAUCUGCUUGGUUUUCCAGUGUAUUCAAUACAGCUAUUUCUUUCCCCAUUCAUCACUGUCUUGAAAUGCCAUUUGACUGAUCAUUGUACUCUUGACCUGGCUAUUGCUGCUGGUAAUUAUUUCUGAAAUUUCCAAGGAACCAAGAGCUCUUGCUUCCUACAGUGUCAGUAACUGCAGUUAAUUCUGGUUUAAGCUGAAUUUGCAAUUUCUGCAACAAAAGAUCUAUGCGAGUUUGAAUUGCCCUGCCUUUUUGAACACCUGAUUCUUAGCAUAUCAUUGUCACCUGAACAAAGAUGAAAUCUAAGUGUGCAUGUUUAUUAUAUACUACAUGCUUCCUGAGUGUAAUGUAAUUUCUUCUCUGGGUAUCAGCUGGGUGCAACAAUAAAAAUAGCAAACCUGGAGGUGAGUUUGCUGGAGUGGAGCGGCUAAGUGGAAUAAUACACCCAUUAGAAAUGUGGGAGCCAUCAACACUCUAUUCAGUGUUAUUAACAGUGUGAGUAUUCAAAUGGUAAUCUUGUGUCGUUAAUUCAGCAGGAAUGUGAAAGCAUAUAUUGUAUUCAUAUCUUUGUCAGACUUUUUUGAAACCUGAGAAAUGGAAUGGGCAGCUCUCAUUCAUACAUUCAUGUAAAUACAAAUGGAUAAAUCCUGAUUUGAGAGGUCUUUUAGAGUACUAGUCUCCUUUAUUUGGGUUGGUUCACACAUGCAUUCAUUCCUUGGUGACUGUAACAUACAUUGGGUGAUGAAAUGGUUGUCUGAAUCAGCCACCACAGUUCAAAAUGGAAUGUGAUUAUUUCCAAAGCAAGAGGCACAGCUUCCUUGCAUCAGGCAUGGGGAACAUUGGCCCUCCAGCUGUUGCUGAACUACAGCCCCCAUCACCUCUGGCCAUUGGCUAUGCUUGCUUGGGUUGCUGGGAGUUGUAGUCCAGCAACAUCCAUCAGGCCAAAGGUUACCUACACCUGCUUUGCAUUGUCAUGCAUGGCAUCAAAAGACUUUGGAGCCUGGCCUCUGUUAUAGCUGCACAUGUGUGAAUAUGCAAUAAGCACAAGGGAAACACUUUUAAAAGCAAAUGUACAUUUUACCUUUACCUUUACAUUUUGGGGACGCGGGUGGCUCUGUGGGCUAAACCACUGAGCCUAGGGCUUGCCAAUUGGAAGGUCGGCGGUUCGAAUCCCCGCGACAGGGUGAGCUCCCAUUACUCAGUCCCAGCUCCUGCCAACCUAGCAGUUCGAAAGCACGUCAAAGUGCAUGUGGAUAAAUAGGUACUGCUUUUGUGUGUGGUAUUUCUUCCUAUGGGUGUAAUUGAUCCUCCCUUAUUGUGCCCCUCUUUGCCUGCCACCCAAAGCAUUCCUAUAUGACAACCUGGGGUUUUCUUUCAAGGCUGCAGUGGCACUGUCAGCAUCUGUUGCUGCUUAGGCACAAGGGAUGGGGCAUCUUCCAAUGCUGGAGCAAGAAAAUGUCAGAGUUGACCUGUCAUGCUGGUCCUGGGAGCUGAGUACCAGCUCUUGCUCAGCAGAGCCUGGAAUUGGUUCUUCAGUCUUGGAUUUAUUUGGUUGGAUGAUUUAUUUCUUUUGCUUGGUGCCUGUUUUGCUUUAGUGGUUUUCUUCAGUUUGAUACUAUUAGUAAUGUUUCUGAACUGAUAAAAAAGGUGUCUGAAGCCCUUUGUCCAUCAUGCUUAGAAAGAAGAGUGCAGCUUUUAUUAAAAUAGAGAAAGACUCAGAAAGCUGAGAUAAGAUAAUAGGAAAUUUUGAAUCCACUCCCCCAGUUGUUGGGAGGGAAGAAAGGAAAAAUUCACACGAGUUUCUUGAUGUUCAGAGUUGCAGUUGCUGCCAACCAUAUGUGGCACGAGUUUAAUCAGGAAUAGGAUAUUGUCCUUGACAAAAAUGGACUUUGCUUUUCAGAUGUAGCAGUCUUAAUCUGUAACCUCAUUUAUGCAACAAUUGUUUGUUUUUUGGGUUGUAGUCCUAAGAACAAUUGAUCCCCCUCAAAUGGGACUGUAGCCCUUAAAUACAACAUUUCAUUUAUUAAUUUUAACAGGGAUGGGAAAUCAUUGUCCUUCCAAAUGUUGUGGGACUCCAGCUCCCAUCAGCCCCACCUAGCAUAACUGCAUUGAUCAGGAAUAAUGGGAGUUGUAGUCCAGCGACACCUGGAGGGGCACAGACUCCCUUCCCUUCUUUAGCUUUUAAUUUAUAGUUGUCAGCGUAGUGGCUACUUCAUCAUCUUAAGGUCCGUUCUUGUUUGGUAGUUUGCAUGAAUGCAUGGACCGAACUGGACAAAUUCGUUGUUCACGAAGGGGGGGGGGAUAUUCAGAACAAAUAUGCAUAGGACUGUGCUGUGAGACAGUAAAUUUAUCAAAUGAUUUGCAGAUUUAUUGUCUGUUCAUGUGUCUUACACUCUAAUUAUACUCUAAACAUAUUUUUCUGAAUUUUUCUAAGUUCAGUGGUACUUGUGUCCAAGCAAAUGUGCUCAGGAUAGCAAUCUAAAUUUGUCUGCUGAAAUGAUUUUUUGCUGUUGAGGACAAACAUUACUGUUUGAGACUAUUUUAUUUUUUAAAGUUGGACAAGGUUCCCUACCCCCAACGUUUUGCUAGUGCAUUCCUUGAAGUCAACUGUAAAUGAGCUGAGUUUCUCUCAGGAACUGCAAGGUGUUAAAGAUAACAAUGAUAUCCUUUGAAAUUUAAAUGCAAAACAUGAUAGUAUUUCACUGUGUGGGAACAGAAGGCAAAUAUUCUGGAAACAUUGGAUUUCUCUUUAAAAAGGCAUUUAUGAGAAUGGCCACAUUUCCACAGUGAGCCUUCGUUCAGCCUGCCCUUGAAGAUGUACAACCCCUUCGCCUCCUCCAGUUUUUUAUCUCUGUCUGCAGGUGGACUGUGGGGGAGAUGAAGCAAUGACUGAUAAUAUUAACUCUGUGUGCAUUUGAGAAGGCCUGUAUGGUAACAUUGUUCCAUGCUGGGAAUAUUUAUUCCCUUUCUUCUUUUUGUGCAGUGCUUGGUGGUGAUUAAGGCUCUGUCUGCACCUUACAUUUAAAGCACUAUUAUACCACAUUAAACAGUACAGUGGUACCUCAGGUUACAUAUGCUUCAGGUUACAUAUGCUUCAGGUUACAGACUCCGCUAACCCAGAAAUAGUGCUUCAGGUUAAGAACUUUGCUUCAAGAUGAGAACAGAAAUUGUGCUCCGGCGGCGCAGCGGCAGCUGGAGGCCGCAUUAGCUAAAGUGGUGCUUCAGGUUAAGAACAGUUUCAGGUUAAGAACGGACCUCCGGAACGAAUUAAGUACUUAACCCAAGGUACCACUGUAAUGGCUUCCCCCAAAGAAUUCUGGGAACUGUAGUUUAAGAGUGCUGAGAGUUCUUAGGAGACCCUGUUACCCUCAGAGAGCUAUAAUUCCCAGAGUUCCCUGGGAAAGGGGGAUUGACUGCUAAACCACUCUGGAAACAUUUAUCUAUUCCAUUUAUACCCCACAUUUUCCUCCAAGGAGCUCAAAGUGGUAUAUAUGGUUCUCGUCUUCCUCAUUAAAUUGUAGCUCUGUGAGGGAAGGGCAUCAGAGUGUGUGUUACAAGUCUGUAGGCCCUUGUUAAAACCACAGCUUAGCCAUUAAUUCACUAAGUUUCUCCCCUUCAAGCUGCUAUUUCUCAUAAUGCUUUCCCUCUUUUCUAAUGCAGGGAAAAAAUGGUUUAGAGCUGCUUUACAAGUUGUAAAGUUCACAGAGGUAAACUAAAGUUUACUGAGGUAUACUAAGGUUUCCUGUAAAGUUUAUUGCUAUACAUAUCCAAUGUGGUGCCCUCCAGAUGUUGUGUGCUACAACUCCCACCAUCCCUGACCUUUGGCUAUGCUGACGGGAGUUGAUGGGAGUUGUAGUACAAAACAUCUGGAAUACUAAGCUCAAGCCCCGAAGAUGUGUGCACAAACUAGAACUUUCUGAAUGGCCUCUCCCCUCAGGCCUCUGCAGAUUUUGAAAAGCUACUCGUGAGAAUCAGGGAGUGCACCAUAUACCGUGCAUCUGCAUGAUUUGCAUGCAAAAGGUCCUUUGUUCAUUCCCUGGCAUCUCUUGAGUAGGGACAGGGAAAGAACCCUAAAACCCCGGAAAAGCUCCUGUUAGUGUAGACAAAGUGAACUAGAUGGACCAGUAGUCUGGUGGUGCUGAGAAUAGAAAUAACAAAAAACAGAACAAAGCAGAAGCAUUUUCCUUGGUUCUCUAGUGUGGUUUCUCUGCUGUUCUGUCAGAGGAACUAGCAAAACAAUUGCACAUAGCUUUAGGAAAAUGGAAAUAUGGUACCUGUUUAUUGUGCAUGUUAAGCACAAUAGAGUGCAUUCAGUAUCGCCAAAGACUUGUGAAACGCUGUGGAGAUGAUUCAGGCUUAGUAAUUUUACUAUGCUGGCUUUCUUGAUACUGACUAAUGUUUGUGGUAUACAGCUUUUAAAACAACAAUCGAAUGAUCUGAAAUGGUAUAAAGCAACUUCCUAUGUUCCUGCCUGACACGGUGUUUGGGGACUGCAGAUAGAAGUUAAAUUCUGCGAAGUCCUGGCCACAUGCUGGAGUAUUUUAGGCCCAUGCAGAGGGCUUCUUGCAUCCCAGUGCAAAUAUUACUUUUUAACCUCCAAAUGUCUAAGAACGAUGAUGCAGGCUUUCUCUGUAGACCACUCUCUUUCUCUCUCACUCCCAGAAUUUCCAGGGAAUUAUGAUUAAGCGAUUGAAGUGCAGAUGUUUCUCACAUUCCAUUCUUGUAUAGCAGAAUGGGAUAUAAAUCUAUGGUGCGGUUACAUUUGAAAUAUAGUUCUGGCUGACGCAUCGCAAAAGCCAUUUCCUGUCAUGCACAACAACCGUCACACAGAUCACCAAAAUUAUGUUAUCUUUUAAAGGGUGACAAUAAUUAAUAUUGUAUGCAGGGCUGCCUUUUCACUAGCAAUAAAAUCUAAAAAGUAUUCUCCAAACACCACCCAAUUGUGAUACAAAACUGAGAAGGGGCUUUUAUUUGGGGAGGAGAGGGGGACAAACCUAUAAAAAACAGAUUGGAUUUUCUAAGCUACUUUUUAAAAGUAAAUUAAAUCAGAAGUAGCUCAGCUUAUUUCUUAGCCACUCUGAUGCUUUCACCUACAGUAACACAGCUAGUUCAAGUUCACUUCAGUCAAUGGUAGGUGCAAACAACUAAUACUUUAAAUAAUUGAGUCUGAUUGUUCAAAAUAUUUCUGAAUUCAUAAUUUGUGUAUAUCCCAAACAGCAUAUGUAUGUACUUCCACAGUGACCACUUCCUCAGUGGCUACUGAGGAAGAUGUGUUUUGAUUGAAACAUGUUAAAUUUAUUGUACUGUAUGGAGGCAAGAUAUUUUAGGUUAUCUGUGAUAGUCAUUUUUUGCAUUUGUGUAAAAUGUAAAUUUACGUGAUCAAAUUGGCAUUAAAUCAUUUUAAUUUUCUUAUCCCAAUAAAAUAUCAUUCAGCAAGCAAUACACUUUCUUCACAUAUAGUAGCACACACAGUGUCUGGUGAUGGUGUGGAAUUUGCAAUAUAAAAUAUGUGUUAAAAGGUAUUUUGCAUAUUUUAAAAACUGCUGCAUACUUUUGCUGGCUCCCCCGCUUUGUGAAAGCCAUGUAAUUUGACCAGAGUUAAUCGACCGCUUAGCUUUGCUAGUAUGUACACAGAGCUGAUCUGGCAUGACUUCCCUAAUAUCUGGCGGAGUAUCUUGUAGUACAUCAGAAAUGCCCUAAGUGAAGCCAAGUGUGUGUGUGAGAUGCCAAGAUACAAAUGCUCCAUUAAUAAUUUAACUUGCGGUGUUAGGUAAGUAAUGUAAGGAAGAACUGUAUUUGCAAGUGGUAAUGAGAGUGUGUACUUUGAACGCUGCUGCUUUGUUUAUUAAUUUCCUUUUGACUGCCACUAGUGCCAGACCAGUGGGCACAGGCAGACCUGGGACCCCUCAAACCUUGUCCUUCUCUCCAUCCUAGCAUAUACACAUUCUUUGUAUUGUCUGAGAAGAACUCUGCAUAUAAAACUGUAUGAUGCGCAGAGGACUAUUUAUGUCUUUGGGAACCCUACUUUACCAGGACUCUGAAACAUACCCCUGCCCGUACGGGCCAGUCGUGUCCGACUCUAGGGUUGUGCGCUCAUCUCGCUCAAGAGGCCGGGAGCCAGCGCUGUCCGGAGACACUUCCGGGUCACGUGGCCAGCGUGACGAAGCGGCAUCUGGCGAGCCAGCACCAGCGCCGCACACGGAAACGCCGUUUACCUUCCCGCUAUAAAGCGGUACCUAUUUAUCUACUUGCACCCUAGAGACCAACUAAGUUUGUUCUUGGUAUAAGCUUUCGUGUGCAUGCACACUUCUUCAGAUACCACAAGAUGCACACAAGAAGAUAUUUUCACACUGGAUGUGCAUAUGUUGGAGGCAGUGUCACCUCCCCAUGUUCAGUAUCUAUAGUAGGGAUGGGGAACCUUUUACAGACAAAGGACAAUAUUUCUUUCUGGUCAAGAGGCAACAUGCCGGUGUUGUUGUUGGGGGAGGGGUUGCAGAGGUAAAAAUAGGCAGAUCAAUUGAUACUCAUGUCAUCUUUGUGCAGCAGGGUAGUUUCUACAUGCACUCAUGUACCCCUUCCUAACCUCUAUUCAGGUAAGCCGGACACAGAAUGCAUUCCAGCCCCUGGCAGAAACAGGGAAGGAGGGUGAAAAGCAGGGCUGAUGAAGAGUGGGAAGGUUUGUGGCCUGGAGAGAAUCCUUAACACCAGAUAGAGAGACCUGGAGGGCUUGCAUGAGAUUGUUGCUUUGAUUCUGGAUGGAGCAUAAGAGCGCAUCUGGGGGCCUCCUAGAAGUAUUCUGAGCUAUAUAACAAAACUAGUGGAAUGAAAAACUGCUCUGGAUUAAUGUCGCUGGCUAUGAAGAUGAAGAUCAUGCCUGCAUCCAAAAGGAUGUGAAGGUGUGUGUUUGUGUGUGAGAGAGAGAUAGAAAAGAGAGAGAGAGAGAGAGAGAUGGGGUUACUGUACUUUCUACUGCUCUUUCACUUAGCUUGCUCCCCACUUGCUUUCCACAGCAGGUGUGUCAAAAGCCUCUGUCUAUUUGUAGGUGGAUAAAGGCUGUGUGUCUUUUGAAAUGCCACCCAUUCAUCCCACCCAAAAUAUUGUUGUCUUUGUUCAGGCCCAUGGAUGUUACACUGUUAGUGCGAAAUGGAAAUUUCCAUGGGUUUGCCAUCACGAUCCAUUUAAUAUUUGUUAGUUGGGUGCUCUUAUAUGCCCAUUGGUACAUAAAUCUCUGAGGAGGGUACAGACUUAAAAACCUCAGCGGGUAUUGCUUGGUUUAAACGCAGUGUUAUAAUCAGAUUUUGCUCUGCUGCUGUUAAAAAAACUUAAAAUCCGAAAGCAGUUUUUCUUUUAAAACAAUUGAUUCUCUCCUUGCCAUCUCCUUUCUAAAGCCUGUAGUUGACACUUGGAGUAAUGUGAUAGCUAAUGCCUACGAUUCACUCCAGUGCAACUUAAUUUCAUAUCUGACAAGGGGAUUCAAGGCAUUUAAAUGAUAUAACAGCUAAUGACGCUGAGAAAAGAUAAUAGAGAUUUUUUCCAUACUGUUGUGGUCCCUAGCUGUGCAUUUGCUGUAUAAUGGUUGUGGGGUUUUUUUCCCUUUUGGAAAGCUGUACUGAGUGAUUUGCCAGGCUAGCAAAAUCAAUUUCAGAUGUCAUAGGGUAUGUUUAUUGCAUCUGUUUUGCCCUGAGGUUUGUUUCCCUAUAGUAUUUAUUCCAGAGUAUCAAUGCAAAUUUCUCUGGAAUAGAACCAAAGCUUUUCAUUAGGCAUCUUAUUUAUUUAUUUUUAUAACGCAUUAGCCUUGCCUGUCAAUGUUAAAAAGUGAGAUGGAGGAAUUAUUGUGCAAAGGGAAAGAAAAAGUUUGCCUUGGCUCUUUACUGACCUAGGCCUAUAUGUGUACCCAUUCAAGAAAAAUCAAAAGCAGAACUGAAUUAGGCCAAAAUUGAUUUACAAUACUUGUGAUAUAACUAAGGAACAAUUCGCUGGAUAGCCUUAAGUGAAUCAGGAGACAUUAUAGCUGCAGAUCUUACAGACUUCUGGCAAUUUAAGGUAACAACUUCCAGAGGGAAGUCAUGUUAAGGUUCAUUCACACUUACUCUUGUCCCAUUACACCCAUCCCCUGCGGAAACAGCUUUUUAGCACUCAGAGCAAACAUUAAUUCACGUUUACUCCUGGUUGAUACUUUCCUCUGAUGCAACAAUAAAGAGUGGGUUUCCCCUGAGAAAAGAAUGGGGCAAGGGGGAAACUGCUUUCCCCUAUGCCUGGAAUGUGCAGGUGAAGCAGAAAACUGCUCGGACCUGUGCUUUCUAGGCAUGCGAUAAGUGGAAAAGUGGAUGAGCUCUUAUCUUAAUCUGCUGCAGCAAAAAUGAACAAAGAAACAAACAAAAUUCAGUGAGUGCUUCUUUGAAGGCUCAGAAAUGUGUUCUUGAUUAAUCUGGAAACAUUUCUAGACCACCUAAUAUUAGAAAAUAUCUAAGCACUGAACAAAUGUAGUCUAAAAACAUAACAGUCCCCUCCUGAAGCUUGUGGGCUCCCAACUCACACCAGCCCCUGUCAUCAUGACAAAAGGUCAAGGAUGUUGAGAGCUUGAGUCUAGAAACAUCUGGAGGGGCAUCACAUUGGCUAAGUUUUCACCGACUAGAAUUCACUUCAUCAGAUUCUGCUGAAAAGGUGAAGACCUUGAAAUGCAUACUUCACUUAAAAAAACACUAUGUACUGCAAUUUUGAAUGCUGGUUAACCUAUCAUGAAGCUCAGCUAAGCAUUCAGAAGAGGGUGGUUGAACACGCAGCCUGCAUGUGGCCCCUGUGGCCAUUUUUGGUGGCCCUCAGCAACAUUCAGAACUUCUUAAAGCAGCUUGAGUAUCCAGCUUUUGUGUAUGUGUGUGUGGUGGUGUUCUGUGAACAACUGGCUCCCUUUGUUUGACUAGGUGUUUUGUACUUCCUGGAUCUUGCUCACUGUGGAAUUGUCCAAAAGGCAAAUGGGAGUGCAAGGCUUCAAGCCAAAAGACUGCCAUUUUAAGGUUCUCCUUUUUUCCGUUAGAAGGUAUGGCCUUCUAACUGAACGUCUGCCCAAGAAGGAUAUAAGGUGGUCGAUAAGCUUUAGACAUCUUUGGACAUUUCCUGCUUGGAACUGUCCAAGGUCCUGCAACUUUUACCUGCCUGGCUAAGCCGCCCACAGGAAUCGAUCUUAAGCUGUGGGGUGCCACUUGUGGUCAGGACAAGGUGUGUCCCACAUCACACAAAAUUGUUGGGCAAGGGGUAUACUCACAAGUGUGGUUGAGCUCUGUACUAGCACUUCAGACCACAUCCCAUUUCAUUUCUAUACCGAUUUAGGGCUUUCGGUCAAAUUGCUUGUUGGUGCUCGAUUGUGCUGCAAACAAAUGCAUGCAAGGUAUAAUGCCACUCACCAACCAAAACCACAGACUUGGUUUUAAAAAUAUUCCCUUGCCUCUUGGCGCUUCAGAAUGAAUAACGAAAGUGGAAGAGCCAGCGGGCUUCAUGUGUUCUAGUGUGGUUAAUAUGCAGUUCUACUUGAAGACUGUUAUCCACUUACUGCUGUGGCUUCUGCUGUAUAGAAUUCUCCCUCUCUCCUUACCUCCGCUUGAACUUUUGGAUUGAAAGCAGAAUAACCAAGGAGUCAAUACACUAAUCCUAUUCCGCUUUUACUUAGCUGCAACGACAGUUUGUCUUUCAUUUUUCAUUUUUGAAAAAGGCCCUGUUGUGCAGGGUUAUGCAACUAAGCUUGGCUGAAGAAUUAGAUUAUGAUGAAGGGGGAAAGCAGGGACCUGCUGUGCACAUUAAAUUGUAAGAGCUCGGAAUGGAUUUAUGUCCUCAGCUUUUCUAGUUUUGUCUCCCCCCGCUUCGUAUUGCUCUCUGCAUGUCUGUCGCUCUCAUGCUUCAGUUAGGGAACUUAACUGAAUGAAGUUCUAAGAAAAAUCUGGUGCGCCUUUCCACAGGCAGUAUUCGUCCAGCAUUAGCCCAGUUGGCAAAGCAGCUGAGCUUGUGCCAUAUGCAUUCUGAAUUGCCAUGCUAGAGCUGAGUUUAUACAAUGUAUUCAUUCCAGUUUCUUAUUGCUGAGCAAUAUCUCUGUUUGAAGACUACUGCAGUGUGCUUCACACAGGGCUGCCCUUGAAAACUGUCUGGAAAUUUACCACUGGUUUAGAAUGUGGCGAAUGUUAAUACCGAAGGCUAUCUGGAAAUAUAACAUUGGUGUUAAAAUUUCUCUGGCUUCCACAUGGUUUCUGGGUCCAUCUGUAAGUGCCAACCUUUUUGAAGACGUUAGGAGCGUCCUACUCUCGUGUAGGACUCUGGUAGAGACACAUGCUUGAUUGGCAUGUUGUCUCCCUCCUGGUCAGUCAUUUGGCAACUUCAAAAGCUUUCUUCUGCCCGAACAUUACAGCGACUGAUACCAAAAGGCAUUAGCAUGCUUAGGGAUCCUGCAGAGUAUUUGCAGUUAGCGUAACAGAACUCAGUAGCACAGCAUUUUGGCUAAUCUAUUUUUAUUUACAUAUAAUACACUCGGAGCAUUCUGCUUUAGCUCCAUCCUCUUUCUCAUCAGACAGCAAAGAGAAAAAGAACAAAGGACAAUAGUCCCACUUCAUGGAACACAGUAACACAAAACAUCCUGUCUCCGUCACUUCCCACACUGUGAAAUAAAAACACACCAUCAUGUGAUAGACAACAAUCCCAUGACUGCAAACAUGGGGAAUGAAUCUCAACAGUUCAGAGGUGUAGCCCUUCAGGUGCUGUGCAGCUACAGCUCCUGUCAUCUCUCACCAUUGGCCAGGCUGGUUGGGAAUUGGAAUCCAGCAACAUUUGGAAGGUAUCAAAUUGACUACCUCAGCACUAAAUGGUCUGUGCUCAGAAUAUCUAAGGACCAAUAUGAACCUAUCUGGAUGUUGAGCUUCUCCUAAGAGAAUCCCCAGUUACCUAAUAAGGUAUAUCUCUGUGUAGGACUAUAUAUAGUGAGUGGCUGUGGAACCUUUCAUGAAGGAAGUCUGAUAGGUCUUCAAGGUGCGAAACCAAGAUAGUUCUUUUCUAGAAAGCUUUCAUUUUGCAUUGAUAAAUGAACACUGUUUCUGCUAACUCUAUGACUUGGCUUUUAUUGUUUCUAUCAGUUUGUGUUGUUUCCUGUUUUAAAAUGAAGAUUUUAAACUUGUAUUGCAUUUAGUAUAUAUGGCAAACAGUCUUGGAGAUUUUACGUUGAAAGGAGCAUGUGGGGUUUCCCCACCACCACCCAAAUUAAAUGUGAUUUUCUUCAAAACGUUUUUGAAGGCUGCUUUCUCCUCAGGUUGUGCUUUUUUUGGCGCCUUAACAAUUUCCUAGGAAACAGACUGGUUUGCAUCACUUUUCCUUUUGUGCAGCAUCCUCCAUGAGGCAUCCAAAGGUGCUUGAAAAGAAAUCAAUAACUAUUAGCCCUUGACAAACAACAUUCAAAUGCCAUUUGUUUUGAUGGGGCUUACAGUUGUUGUUGCAUUUCUAUAACCUAAGGAGAAUCAGGUGUGGUGUACUAUCGAUAUUCCAGCUUCCUGUGAGGAAAAUGGCCAGAACUGGACACCUCUUCCCUUCUCUUUUCUACAGGCAGUGGGGGAAGAAGGCUGCGCUUGCAUUAGGAACAGAGCUAGCUCCUAAGGCCUGCUCUACCCAGGCAUGAUAUAGGAAUGGACAAACAUGUCAAUUUUGGUUUUUCUCAGUUUCUUGUUUUUCUAGUCUUGAGUUCAUUUUUUUACAUCAUUCCAUC